GAUGAACGCUGGCGGCGUGCCUAAUACAUGCAAGUCGAGCGAACAGACGAGGAGCUUGCUCCUCUGACGUUAGCGGCGGACGGGUGAGUAACACGUGGAUAACCUACCUAUAAGACUGGGAUAACUUCGGGAAAGCGGAGCUAAUACCGGACAAUAUAUUGAACCGCAGGGUUCAAUAGUGAACGACGGUUUUGCUGUGCCUAAUAGAUGGAUGCGCGCCGCAUUAGCUAGUUGGUAAGGUAACGGCUUACCAAGGCAACGAUGCGUAGCCGACCUGAGAGGGUGAUCGGCCACACUGGAACUGAGACACGGUCCAGACUCCUACGGGAGGCAGCAGUAGGGAAUCUUCCGCAAUGGGCGAAAGCCUGACGGAGCAACGCCGCGUGAGUGAUGAAGGUCUUCGGAUCGUAAAACUCUGUUAUUAGGGAAGAACAAAUGUGUAAGUAACUAUGCACGUCUUGACGGUACCUAAUCAGAAAGCCACGGCUAACUACGUG
rnacentral:rRNA from 1 species